UGUUGCCAUAUCCUGCCUGCCAUCUCCUGCAAACGACUUCUGCCCAACUGGAUGCAUGUGUAAAUGUGAUUCCCCAUAUACAGGUGGAAAAACUAAGAUUCAGAGAGAGUUGAUUUAUUCAAGCCAGCAGGAUGGAUGUUCAGUUCAGCAUGUUGGAGGAUGAGUCACAGGGAGCCAGCCUAAGUAAUCCAACAUCCUAAAUGAGGUCCUCCUAGGCCAGUUUGCUGACCUUCAGGAAAAUUCCAAACACGGGGAAACCCAGUGGACCUACAUGCCAUUGGAACAACUAAACCUGAGUGCUACAACUGGAGAAUCCAUGUGCCACAUUGAAAGAUCCCUCAUGCCACAGUCCAAGCUGCAUAGGCAUCGAGAUCCUGUGGUCCUGACAGCACAAAACCCAAUAUACUACCAUGUGGAUGCCAUCAAGCUGUUCUGCUGCUGCUGCUAAGUCGCUUCAGUCAUGUCCGACUCUGUGCGACCCCAUAGA